AGCGGCGGAUGGGUGAGUAACACGUGGGGAACCUGCCCCUAAGUCUGGUAUACCAUUUGGAAACAGGUGCUAAUACCGGAUAAUAAAGCAGAUCGCAUGAUCAGCUUUUGAAAGGCGGCGUAAGCUGUCGCUAAGGGAUGGCCCCGCGGUGCAUUAGCUAGUUGGUAAGAUAACGGCUUACCAAGGCGACGAUGCAUAGCCGAGUUGAGAGACUGAUCGGCCACAUUGGGACUGAGACACGGCCCAAACUCCUACGGGAGGCAGCAGUAGGGAAUCUUCCACAAUGGACGCAAGUCUGAUGGAGCAACGCCGCGUGAGUGAAGAAGGUUUUCGGAUCGUAAAGCUCUGUUGUUGGUGAAGAAGGAUAGAGGUAGUAACUGGCCUUUAUUUGACGGUAAUCAACCAGAAAGUCACGGCUAACUACGUGCCAGCAGCCGCGGUAAUACGUAGGUGGCAAGCGUUGUCCGGAUUUAUUGGGCGUAAAGCGAGCGCAGGCGGAAAAAUAAGUCUAAUGUGAAAGCCCUCGGCUUAACCGAGGAACUGCAUCGGAAACUGUUUUUCUUGAGUGCAGAAGAGGAGAGUGGAACUCCAUGUGUAGCGGUGGAAUGCGUAGAUAUAUGGAAGAACACCAGUGGCGAAGGCGGCUCUCUGGUCUGCAACUGACGCUGAGGCUCGAAAGCAUGGGUAGCGAACAGGAUUAGAUACCCUGGUAGUCCAUGCCGUAAACGAUGAGUGCUAAGUGU
rnacentral:rRNA from 1 species